UAGACUUAUUUCUCUGUUAAAAUACUUGGGAAAUGAGUGAACUUCUUUUCAAGCAUGUGUGAUCCGGGCAUAUCCGACUAAAUUCCAGAGUGAUCAAAACGGCCAAAACAUCUUGUCCACCAAAUUUUCAUUUGGACUUUCGACCUAAUUCCAAUUGACCACGUGCAUCUUCGGAUCCAGAAAUAAAAUAUGAAUAUAAGUCAUGCUUCUUAUGUUAUAAUUCUAGAUGUGUGGUAUUGAGACUAAUUUGUAACAUGUUUAUUGCAUUCAAUCUAACAUCUUCCAUUCUAUUCAAUGUAAAUGGUUGGAUUUGUAAGUGAAAGAUGCAUCUUUUCCUGAGUCCUGACACUUGACAUGUGCAAUUGUGUCUAUAAAUGAGGAUCAUGAAAUGUAGGGAAGAGUUCAGGGGAAUAAGCAAGUUAUGAAAAACACAGAGGAACCGCGAAGAA